GACGAACGCUGGCGGCGUGCUUAACACAUGCAAGUCGAACGGUAAGGCUCCAGCUUGCUGGGGUACACGAGUGGCGAACGGGUGAGUAACACGUGGGUGACCUGCCCUGCACUUCGGGAUAAGCCUGGGAAACUGGGUCUAAUACCGGAUAGGACCGCACCGUGAGGGUGUGGUGGAAAGUUUUUUCGGUGUGGGAUGGGCCCGCGGCCUAUCAGCUUGUUGGUGGGGUAAUGGCCUACCAAGGCGGCGACGGGUAGCCGGCCUGAGAGGGUGGACGGCCACAUUGGGACUGAGACACGGCCCAGACUCCUACGGGAGGCAGCAGUGGGGAAUAUUGCACAAUGGGCGGAAGCCUGAUGCAGCGACGCCGCGUGGGGGAUGACGGCCUUCGGGUUGUAAACUCCUUUCACCAUCGACGAAGGGUUUCUGACGGUAGAUGGUGAAGAAGCACCGGCUAACUACGUGCCAGCAGCCGCGGUAAUACGUAGGGUGCGAGCGUUGUCCGGAAUUACUGGGCGUAAAGAGCUCGUAGGUGGUUUGUCGCGUCGUCUGUGAAAUUCCGGGGCUUAACUCCGGGCGUGCAGGCGAUACGGGCAUAACUUGAGUACUGUAGGGGAGACUGGAAUUCCUGGUGUAGCGGUGAAAUGCGCAGAUAUCAGGAGGAACACCGGUGGCGAAGGCGGGUCUCUGGGCAGUAACUGACGCUGAGGAGCGAAAGCAUGGGGAGCGAACAGGAUUAGAUACCCUGGUAGUCCAUGCCGUAAACGGUGGGCGCUAGGUGUGGGUUUCCUUCCACGGGAUCCGUGCCGUAGCUAACGCAUUAAGCGCCCCGCCUGGGGAGUACGGCCGCAAGGCUAAAACUCAAAGGAAUUGACGGGGGCCCGCACAAGCGGCGGAGCAUGUGGAUUAAUUCGAUGCAACGCGAAGAACCUUACCUGGGCUUGACAUAUACAGGAUCGCGCCAGAGAUGGUGUUUCCCUUGUGGCUUGUAUACAGGUGGUGCGUGGUUGUCGUCAGCUCGUGUCGUGAGAUGUUGGGUUAAGUCCCGCAACGAGCGCAACCCUUGUCUUAUGUUGCCAGCACGUUGUGGUGGGGACUCGUAAGAAACUGCCGGGGUUAACUCGGAGGAAGGUGGGGAUGACGUCAAAUCAUCAUGCCCCUUAUGUCCAGGGCUUCACACAUGCUACAAUGGUCGGUACAGUGGGUUGCCAGUCCGUGAGGGCGAGCUAAUCCCGCAAAGCCGGUCUCAGUUCGGAUCGGGGUCUGCAACUCGACCCCGUGAAGUCGGAGUCGCUAGUAAUCGCAGAUCAGCAACGCUGCGGUGAAUACGUUCCCGGGCCU
rnacentral:rRNA from 1 species